UUUAGAACAUCACCUCUGCAAGAUGUUCACAGAAGGAAACUCAUCCUCAGCUAUAGUUGCACAUGGAUUUUGAACAUGGCUGUGGAGACAAUAAUGGAAACCUUAAGCCUGGUACUAACCUACACACAAUAGUGACCUAAAUACCUAACUACAUUUCUUGUGAAAUACAGAACCCAAACCCACCAAUCCUGAUCCAACCAAGGGUUGCAGAGGUGGCCCAGCGAGUCCUAUACCAAGUAGGCCUUCUAGCUCUAUUUUAUGCUGUUAUAAAUUUGACAAGAUAAGUGCAUAACAUAUAUAUCUUAUGGCAUCUGUAUUUUCCUGUAUUUAAUCAUCAUAAUUGCUGUGAAAAGGAAGAAUUUGUACGUAUCUUAUUGGCAAAUCUUUGAGUGUCACGCCCUGACCGUAGAUUGCUUUGUAUGUUUCUAUUUUUAGUUUGGUCAGGGUGUGAUGUGUGUGGGUAUUCUAUGUUUGUAUUUCUAUGUGUUUGGCCUGGUAUGGUUCCCAAUCAGAGGCAGCUGUCAAUCGUUGUCUCUGAUUGAGAACCAUACUUAGGUAGCCUGUUUUCCCACUCUUGUUUGUGGGUGGUUAUUUUCCGUUUCAGUGUUUUUUCACCAUUUGGGACUGUUUCGUUUUUUUCUUCAUUCGCUUAUUCUUUUGUUUCCUGUGUUCAGUGUAAUAAAUAUGACAAA